GCCCGCUUGGAGUAGUGGUAUAACUCGCCGGUGUCCGAUGUCCGUGCAUUGGACAGCCGGAAACCCAGGUUCGAAUCCUGGAGCGAGCA